GACGAACGCUGGCGGCGUGCUUAACACAUGCAAGUCGAACGGAAAGGCCCUGCUUUUGUGGGGUGCUCGAGUGGCGAACGGGUGAGUAACACGUGAGUAACCUGCCCUUGACUUUGGGAUAACUUCAGGAAACUGGGGCUAAUACCGGAUAGGAGCUCCUGCUGCAUGGUGGGGGUUGGAAAGUUUCGGCGGUUGGGGAUGGACUCGCGGCUUAUCAGCUUGUUGGUGGGGUAGUGGCUUACCAAGGCUUUGACGGGUAGCCGGCCUGAGAGGGUGACCGGCCACAUUGGGACUGCGAUACGGACCAGACGCCUACAGGACGCAGCAGUGGGGAAUUUUGCACAAUGGGCGGAAGCCUGAUGCAGAGACGCCGCGUGCGGGAAGACGGCCUUCGGGUUGUAAACCGCUUUCGCCUGUGACGAAGCGUGAGUGACGGUAAUGGGUAAAGAAGCACCGGCUAACUACGUG
rnacentral:rRNA from 1 species